GUGAGUAGUUCAGAGUUGUAUCCUGGCUCAGGACGAACGCUGGCGGCGUGCCUAACACAUGCAAGUCGAACGGGGUAAGAGAGGAGCUUGCUUUUUUCUUACUUAGUGGCGAACGGGUGAGUAACGCGUGAGAAACCUGCCUCUCAGUGGGGGACAACAGUUGGAAACGACUGCUAAUACCGCAUAAUGUACACUGACCGCAUGAUCGGUGUACCAAAGCUUAAUGUGCUGAGAGAUGGUCUCGCGUCUGAUUAGCUAGAUGGCGGGGUAACGGCCCACCAUGGCGACGAUCAGUAGCCGGUCUGAGAGGAUGAACGGCCACAUUGGGACUGAGAUACGGCCCAG
rnacentral:rRNA from 1 species